GUAUUGACUGUGUAUGCAUGCAUGCAUCUAUCGAACUUCGUGCACAUAUAGACGUGAUGCUUUGACGAUAAAUACUUAUUAAAAUUCAAAUUAUUUAUUUCUGCCUUGUAAAGGUACAGACAGCAGAGGCGCAGAAAAAGCUGUCAGAUACAGAUUGACAAAGCCGCAGCCCCCUUUCGCUUGGCAGAGCCUUCACAGCGACACUUUUAAAACAAAGACAAUUACACCCGGUAAUAACAGGUAUACAAUACUGAGCAAGUACAAAAGGAAACCAAUCAAGAUUAUACGAUAUUUGUACAAUACUCCCAAACAAGAAAACAGAACCUACAUGCUAACGUACAUAGCACCCAAAGUACUGUUCGACACGUUGAAGAAGUCAAAAUUAUUGUUCACAUAAGGUAUAUACAUAUUCGUAUAGCGCUACCAAUCCCUGCAAAAUAUAGAACGCAGAUUUUCAUUACACACACGCACGCACGCACGUGCACAGCACACACACCAAAAGGAAACGGCAACGCGCUCACAGGAAGCGCCUGAAAAACGAAAAAAAAAAGGAAAAGUGUGGGGAACCGAGGUCGUCUUGGGCUGUCGCCUCUCCCUCUCCCAGAAGGAAUGAAGAGGUUCUUGGAAAGCAGGGACGGGCGAUUCUCUCUGUCAGCAUCAGCUCGAGGACGGGGCGAGAAAGCGAAACGGGACUUUCCUUGCUGUCUAUUUUUUCUUCGUCAGGCCAACGCCGCUUGCUUGCAGGGGCGCAGGCGAGUUCCCGCCAAAUGGCGCGGGUGCGUGAGUUGCCGCCAAAUGCUAGCUCUGGAUGCCAGCUCGUUCCGCGUCUCAUGGUAGACUAGUUGGUGCAUUUCUGCUAUCAUGGACUGCGCAUAUAAACGCAAGCUACACAAAAGUGACAUGGACAAGAACAGCGCAAGCCCUUUACAUGCAGUGGAGCCGCCGUAUCUCGCCGUUCAAGAUAUGCGUACUCGAAAAAAAAAAAGAGGCUUUACAUGAGAACGGAUCAAGCGUUCGAGAGUUGGGACAGGGAAAUGUGAGACGUACGUAUGUAUAUAUUUCUAAUAUUAUUUUUUCGUCUUGUAUUCUCGUUAAUUUUUCUCUAGGAAACACUGGAACGACACUGCUUAAAUUGAAGCACAGUGUGCGAAUGACCUGCUACGCUCGGAACUGUUAUCACCAUUCGGGAAGAAAUUGGGUAAGAAUGGAUUGUGUGUGGCGCGCUUCACCGCAUGUGGACUAGAGUAGAUCUAGGAACAUCAGACAAGAAGACACGUAUGUGAAACCCUGCGGAUAGCCCAUAUGUGAACUUUUUUUCCAGAUACGGAGGAACGGACACCGGUCAUGCCGUGCGCACUCUUCUGCAGGGCAUACUUACAAAUGAAGCUGCACUGCAGUUCAGCUGGAAAGGGUCGCAGGGGAGGAAGCACGCCUUCGUGAAGCUCAUGGCCAUCACGAAUAUAACAUCUGUGAGGAGCACGUUCCCUGACGCUUCACUAGCAUCAGUGGCUGGAGUCGCAAAACGCCGGUUGGUUGGAGCAGCUGACAGGGAUGGAGGCCGGAAUGAAAGAAGGCGCCGUGACCCUGCUUCAAGCCCACCAAAUAUGAACUAGUGUUUGAAACUUGUGAACGUGUCGGUGUACAUAUACAAUUACAAGAAAUAAAGACCUGUAUCAGAA